rnacentral:rRNA from 1 species
AUGGCGGGCCCAGACGACUCCAGUGGUAGCAAGUCGCCGGCCACUCCGCGGGCACGGGUCUCCGACGUCAACGAGCUUGCCGUGGCCGAGAGACCCACGGCGCGGAUGGCGUGCGACAUCGGCGGCGCGGCGUGGCCGCAGCUGACCCGAACCAACUACACCGACUGGGCCGUUCUCAUGCAGGUCAUGAUGGAGGGCCGCUACCUCUGGGACACCGUGCAGACGGGCACGGCAGAGCGCAGCGACGACCGGUUGACGCUCGAAGCAAUCCUGCGCGGGAUGCCACCGGAGAUGGCGCCCACCCUCGCCGGCAAGGCCACGGCGAAGGAGGCGUGGGACACUGUCAAGACGAUGCGUCUAGGUGUGGCGCGCGUUCGCGAGGCAAAGCUCGCGACCAUCUCCAAGCAAUACAGCGACAUCCGCUUCGCCGACGGCGAGACCGUCAAUGACUUCUCCAUGAGGAUCUCAAACAUGGUGGCCCAGAUGGCACAUCUCGGAGAAACUGUGCCCGAGAAGCGGGUUGUGCGCAAGUUUCUCUCCGUCGUCCCCAAGAGGUACUCUCAGAUCGCGCUCUCCAUUGAAACUCUCGUCGAUUUGGACACACUGUCGGUGGAGGAGCUCACCGGGCGGCUCAAGGCCGCUGAGGAGAGGUAUGAUCUCGAGUAG